UGACGAAACACUGCCUCUCCGCACCUUG
rnacentral:piRNA from 1 species